AAGUCGUAACAAGGUUUCCGUAGGUGAACCUGCGGAAGGAUCAUUAAUGAAAAACUAUUUUUUUAGUUCUUCAUACCCCAUUGUUUACUUUACCAUGUUGCUUCCACGUGGACAGGCUUUCGAGCCCUCUAGCCAGCUUGAUUCGUCAUGAAAGGCCGGGGAGUUGCCCGUGGUAAGACCCUACAAUAAAAACUUGAUAAAAACCAAAAUGUCUGAUAUCUUCAUUAAAAAUGAAAUAAAACUUUCAACAACGGAUCUCUAGGCUCUU
rnacentral:misc_RNA from 1 species